CGACGAAUUCUUGCUAAAAAGUGAGACUUGAAGUCUGGGUCUGUCUACCUCAUAAUCCACAGGAAAUACAGGGGAGUGAAGAGCAUGCCGUGGAUGAUGAGCAGAAUUGCUGCGGUCGGCCUCGACCGUGGGCUCAGCCCAGGCCCCCGCAGUAGAAGGGGCGAGCAUGAAGAUUGGUGGAUUCUCAGAGAGCGUUUACACUGCACGUCUUCACAGCAUCUUCACCAGGAGUAAAUUCUGUCUCAAGCAACCGCUUCCUUCGCUUAUCCAUGGGAAGCAGCUCCUCCUCUGUUCAGACUUCAUCCUGAGGUCCAUGCGCUUCAGUCCCGUCUUCAGGCUCCGUGUGUGACUGCAGUCCUCCUGCUGUUCCAGUACACUCACUGCUGCUUCCUCCACUGAAGUCUCUUAUUCCUUUUUUUUUUUUUAAAUUGACGAGUAUUUCUUUACAGAAUUUUGUGGGUUUUUGUCAUACAUGAACAAGAAUCUUGAGCCCUGAGAAGCCACCCCUGAGGGCUGGGAUCCACUUCCUGCAGCUCCUGUUACUGUGGACGUUCUGACCUCUUUGCACAGAUCACAAACGUCCUUGGCAGCAUCUGAAAUGCCGACUCCUCUCCAGGAGGUUGCCCAGAUCCAUCGAAGAACUGCUGUCUAUGGCAGCUAUAGCCUUGUGAGAUGGGUUUCUUAAAUGACAGGACUUGAAAGUCAGGGCUCCGUGGGCUGCAGGUUGGCUGUGUUAGCAGGUGUGAAACAGCUCGAGCCUCAUCAUCCGUCAGAGCUCUUGGUCAGUGAGCAGUAAUUGGGAAAGAAUCUUGUUUUCUGAGCAGUAGGUCUCAACAGUGGGCUUAAAAUAGUAAAAAAAAAAAAAAAGAAAGAAAGAAAGUGUUAGUUGCUCAGUCAUGUCUGACUCUUUGUGACCCCAUGGACUGUAGCCCACCAGGCUCCUCUGUCCAUGGAAUUCUCUAGGCAAGAUUACUGGAGUGGGUUGCUAUUUCCUUCUCCAAAGGAUUUUCAUGACCCAAGGAUCAAACCUGGGUCUCCUGCAAGAUUCUCUACCAUCUGAGUCACCAGGAAAUUUUUUAAAAUAGUAAACUAUGCAGUAAAUUGCUGUCAUCCCAACUUUGUUGUUCAUUUACAGAGCACAGGCAAAGUAGAUUUAACACGAUUCUUAAGGGCCCCAGGAUUUUCAGAUGGUAGAUGAGCACUGGCCUCACUUGGUCACCAGCUGCCAGAGCUGCU
ensembl:lncRNA